rnacentral:rRNA from 1 species
GAGACUCUGUGCGCGUGCAUAUCAAUAAGCGGAGGAAAAGAAACUAACAAGGAUUCCCCUAGUAACGGCGAGUGAAGCGGGAAGAGCUCAAAUUUGAAAUCUUCAAGGGUUUCCCUUGACGAAUUGUAGUUUAAAGAAGUGUUUCCUGUUAGAGAGGUGGUAAAAGUUCUUUGGAAUAGGACAUCAUAGAGGGUGAGAAUCCCGUAUUUGAUCGCUUUCUACUAACGUUGUGAUACACUUUCAAAGAGUCGGAUUGUUUGGGAAUGCAGUCCAAAAUGGGUGGUAAAUUUCAUCUAAAGCUAAAUAUUGGCGAGAGACCAAUAGCGAACAAGUACCGUGAGGGAAAGAUGAAAAGAACUUUGAAAAGAGAGUUAAACAGUACGUGAAAUUGUCAAAAGGGAAGCGUUUGACACCAGUGUUGUUUUUCCGAAAAUCAAUUAAGAAUGGCCGGAUUUUAAGUUUCAUGACCUUAAAAGCUUGUUUCUUAUUUUUCUUGUCUUUCUUAAUGCACUUUUCGGUUAACAAGUCAACAUCAAUUUCUUUUGUUGUAAAAGGUUAAGAGGAAGGUGGCUUUACUUUCGGGUAAAGUGUUUAUAGCCUUUUAACUCUGCAAUCGGAGAGAUUGAGGUCUGCAGCGUAGAUCCUUCGGGGCUAGAUACGUUUGUGCUAAGUUAUAGCUUUUCAUAGACAACUUGUUGACUAUGUUUAGUCUUGUAGCUUACUCGCUUAUGGCUAUUUUACCUACGCUUAGGAUGUUGAAGAUGUAGCACAUCAU